rnacentral:rRNA from 1 species
GGUGAUGAGGUAACAAGCAUAGUGCUGAGAAUUGUAAGCAGUGAGGAGAGCCCAGAAUCCAUCAAUGACACCGUGCUUGUGUUAAUCCCAAAGGUAACUACUCCUACGGUGCUUGCUCAAUUUCGUCCUAUAAGCCUAUGCAAUGUUUUGUAUAAAAUAGCCUCAAAGGUGAUAGCCAAUAGAUUAAAAGUGAUAUUACCUGACAUAAUAUCGGAGGAGCAAUCUGCUUUUGUCCCCGGAAGGCUCAUCACUGAUAACAUCAUUUGCGCAUAUGAAUGUUUGCACUUCAUGAAGAGGUCCAGAUCAAAGUCCAACAGCUUCUGUGCUCUAAAACUGGAUAUGAUGAAGGCG